GACCAGUGAUAUUACUUUCAUAAUACAGUUCCUGGUUUCGUCAACCAAUGCCAACCAAUCAAAAUCUCACAGAAAGGUAUAUGUAUGGAUGAAGCCACAGGGUCAGUAUCAUUUUAAAAAAUGGAUGAUGUUGUCAGGGACAUGUAUGAAGGAGUAGAUCUGAAUAUAUUGACGAUAAGACAGAGAGGAUCACACAGAAGAAUGCAGUUAAGAGAAAAUGUUGAUGUUCUCUUCAGAAUAUAUAGAACAGUCAAUAACGCAACGAACGUGCAUGUAUUGUUAUGCAGACCGCGUAAACAACCUGAAAGGAUGACUCGAAUUCUCCGGACGUACAUCAAUGACACUAAUUUACAUGUGUCUCUACAGCUGACAUCCAGAAUCGAAUCAGGAACGCGUAGAGUGGAAACAAUAUCAAUGAGUGGAAAAAAAGAUCAGUUGGAAGACUUAUGUGAAGCGUUCCCUACCUUGUUAACAGAUAUGGGAAUAGGACCUGCCAGAGUUGAGGAAUAGGAGGCUGAAAAUCAAGACGUCGAAGAAGAAGAUGAUGAUGAUGAUGAUGAUGAUGUCAUAAUACAACAUGGAUUCUACUCUCUGAUCUGAUUUGAAAAAUAAUUCUACUCCCUUUUUCUGUGUCAAAGCCAUCUGCCUGUCUUA